rnacentral:rRNA from 1 species
UACGUAGGGUGCGAGCGUUGUCCGGAAUUAUUGGGCGUAAAGAGCUCGUAGGCGGUCUGUCGCGUCUGCUGUGAAAUCCCGAGGCUCAACCUCGGGCCUGCAGUGGGUACGGGCAGACUAGAGUGCGGUAGGGGAGAUUGGAAUUCCUGGUGUAGCGGUGGAAUGCGCAGAUAUCAGGAGGAACACCGAUGGCGAAGGCAGAUCUCUGGGCCGUAACUGACGCUGAGGGGCGAAAGCGUGGGGAGCGAACAGG